UUCCCUGAAAACAGAAUCUCCAUGGUCUUCUAAACAAAAGGCCUAGCGAGGCUGCCGGCUUGGCUUCCGCAUGCCGCCAUCAUGCCUUGCUCUGGGCAUCAUCAAUAGUUCCUCCUUCUCCGCCGUGUUAGGCUGCACAAUAGAAGCAUCGGUAACUGGAGGAAGGAGAUGUCACAGGCAUGAAUUAAGGGUGGAACAGCCAGAUCGAGGUCUGAAUUGUUUGCAGCGAGGCUGCUGCGCUGCCUAGGGCUCUUGGAGGAGCCGAAGCAAUGGGAUAGCCACAUCAUGCAGGGCUGCAAGGGAGAUAUGUCCAUCGAUUGCCUCAGGUUCUUCUUUGAUCGUAGAUCGUUUUCCUACGACGCCGGCGACAGGAUCCCAUAAUGUCUCUCCAUUGUCAAUCUAUCCAUCGUACAAAGAAGAUUGAGUAAGAGCUUAGAUGUGUCCGCAGAGCCUAAAAAAACAUGGUGAUCAAAAGGAUUUGUAUGGGAGAUAUCUCUGAUUCUUUUCAUCGAUCUAGCGGCGAAUCGUGCCAUCUGAUUGAUUCAUAUUGCAACAGGGCAAGGCAGAUAUGCCAUGGCCUUUGCCUCCAUGUGCCAUCGGCCUUUGUGUGUUAAAUUUUAUUAGGGGCAAAACAAGAUUGAGAUGCAGACAAUGAACAUUGGAGACUGAUCAUGUAAUUGUCCUUCUGCGUACGUUUUACAAAGUUGGAUAAUGAAGUACAAUGCAUGACCCUCGGCUGUGGAAUAAUUACUCUUUUAUAUCUCACUGUCCAGCCUUUGCUUCGAGGUAAAAAAGGUGUAUCGCCUCUCCAUACAAGGUGUUCAUGCGCUGGAGGCUUGGAUCCCCUGUUAGUCGGUGGCCUCACUGAUUUAAGGUUACGCAUGUGUUAAAUAAAACUGAUGUUGGUGUAAUUAAGCUCACAACAAGGACACUGCUAUGCUUUCCAUGUUUAACAGAAGCCUGUCAGUAAAACUGCUAGGCCAGCUAUCCUUAUUUGCACAAUAUGCAAAAACACAUAUUUAUCAGGACAACUAUUAUAACAUAUAUGAGACAUCUCAUUUGUUAUGGCUUUCUGUCUUUCACACAAGAUAAAUGUUAUUUGAGCUAUUUUCUAUGUAUAGGUAUGAGGAAUUGAGAAUGUAGGCACGACGGGGCAACUCAACAGUUACUUACAAACAGGCUUGGGCACUCCCAUAAAUGGCUCCAUUUUUUUUUACCUUCUACUGAUCUGUAACAAAGAUGAUUUCUCUGUUGCUGUUGAGGUACACAGAGACCUGCUCAACUUGGAUUUUUUUUACUGCACCAUGUCUCCAUCAAUGUCCUAAUCUGAAAUUGUCCGUAAGGCACUGCCUUAGUUUUUAUUGUAUAGCACAGGGAAGAGUCUUCGUUGUUCUAGCUAUGGAGGUGAUCCUUGGUUGGAAGCUACUUUUGUAUCGGAUCGAAGUCGGAGCACAACUAAGGUUGACGUCGCUCGUGUGUUCCAGCGGGCCUCUCUCCAACAACGGAGGCGACUAGGUCUCCGCUCCCAUGGAUGUGGCUGCACAAUCAAAGGAUCAAGAAAGCUUCACAGAGAUUAGUUCAUUGGCCAGGAACGUAUAAAACUGUGAAUCUAAACAGGACGCACCUACAGCGCAGCACUGAUAUGAUGCACUGUACCACGGACAUGCCUAACAUCUACAUGGCACAUACAUGGUUUGCAUGGUGGAUAAGGCGAUGCGUGUUAAGAAGAGCAGUAGCACGUUCGCACAUUAUCUUUAUCAUAUAAAUAACCAUUUUGUUCUAUGAAUUUUAUGGUAUAUAUCUCCAUGUCCAUGUAGUUCCUAAAAGUUCCCUUGGAUUAGAAGCAUUUGUUUGCUGGUCUUUGUGAAGACGAGAUAGGAGGAUCCAUCUUCUUGAUCAAUCAAAUAAGGUGAAAACUGUAGUUUUUUUACCGUGUAAUCUUACCAAAAGUUCUACAGUCUCAUUAUUAAUUUGGCCUCGACACAUAUGUUUUCAAUCCAUUGUGAUCUGAUAUUUUCAAUUUAAAUGAGAAAACAUUCAUAUUUGGCUUUCCGUAGACCAAGUUAACAAGAAUAAGCAUCAUUAGGAGUUGAUCCAGUGCUAUAAUUUUUUAAUAAAGUCAUACUUGGUAUCAAAUCAGUUUAUAGUAGAAACUUAGACGGAGCUAAGAUUGAUUAGCAUGUAAAGUCGUAAACUGCAGAAAGAAAGUUAUUUUUCCAUUAGUUGAUAACGAAUUUGAUUGUAUUGUUCUAUUGAGCUUAUUAUUUUCAAGCAUUCACCAACAAGUUGAAUAAGUCAUAAACCUCUCAGAAGGGUAGCCACAUCAGCUUCCGCAUUACAUAUCCAUGUAUGUUUCUAAUGUACGUUGACAUAUUUUUUGCUCUGCACUCAGAUCUAAACUGACACCAUGCUAUGCAGUUUGAGGGUGCAAAUAUAUGUUCUCCCGGGUAUGCAAGAGAAAAGGUAAUCCAUGAUGUCUAUUUGGAUAUGUUGGGCACUAGAGGGAAGAUUCUUUCAUAUUAUCAUUUAUGAUUAUAUGAAUGAUAUGAACACAUAGUUUAUUGAACACAGGCCCAUAAUAAGUAGGUGUGAUUGAAAAUUCACCUCUAGGCAUGAAAUUCUAUAUGAUUGACAUGCCAAAUCGAAAACUUUGAGCUCAGCAAAGCUAACUUUAGUUCGAAUUCUCCACCAUCGAGAUGUCACAUGGUUUGAAUUAAAUACCAUUGUUGUAUCAUCCUAAGUAUUUAGUAUUGGUCCAAAAGGGUUGAUGUGUCAUCAUGUUUUUGAUACAUGUAAAACACAUAUAUUCAGUUAUUUUUUGAUAGUGUAGUACUUCUCUCCAAAGAGAUCUCCAAUCGUUGAAAACUACAUAGUAUUUAUGGCGUCAAGCUGAGCUAUACAUGAUUAGUCAUUAUUUUAAAAUUUCGACCACUAAUAUAAAUGAAAGUACAUGGAUUGCACAUGUGAAAAUAAAUAUUUCUUAUUAUUUUGCCAACAUAAUUGUCAAUAUAAUUACUACAAGUAAAUUAUGUAAUCUAACUGUAGCAAAAAUUGAAACGAAUAUUAAAUAAUAAAUCCUGCAACAAAAGUUUAUCAAUAUAAUUGUUCUUGCACUAAAAAUUACCAAUAGAAUCAAUAGUUUUUGCUACAGCAACAUUUCAAUCACAAAAUCUUCUCUUAGUUUAAAUACUUUCAUGUUUUUCCUUAUUUUCUUACGCUCCGCAUGGGGUGGUCAAGCCUCUCUGGCUCUGUUUGGUUGCUUUCUUGCCCAGUUUUCUAUAGCGAUUAUUUGUUUCGUUGGUUCAAUCACAUUGUUGGACUGUACACUAGCUAUUUCUUACAAACAACACGACGUUCAAGAGCUAAUCUUUCUUUCCAAUAAAGUCACCAAUUUGGCAAGUAAUAACCAAAUAAUAAUCAUCAACAAUCAUGUUCGUUUAUAGGUUGAAUUAUUUUUUGUUUCUUUAAACUGAUGGCAUGUGAUGUGCUCAACGCGAUAUUCAUAUUAGAUGAAGAAUGUCCAUCCUACAAGGUUGGAAGAAACAUUGUUUACAAGUAUAUAUUAUAGAGGUUCAUUUUGUUAUUACAACUAUAAUUAUAACAAGUACAAACAAUCUUAUCCGAGUAAAUAUAAUGUGGUGCAGACACAGCGGCCUUUUAUAAUUGUGAGCACGGUAAUUCUCUUGCAUGUACAUGUAAAAAUAAACAGUCGAGUAAUGGCUCACAACUGAUUUGAGAAAAACAUGGUAACUUAUGCAUCCAUCAAGGUUGUGAAACUAUAACUGACAACGAAGAUUACUUUAUACCAAGUCCUAAAGUUAUUCAGGCAUAGUGGAAACUAUUCUUUCUUUAGCUAAACCCAGCAAUUCAUAUCCAGUUUCACAAGUAAAAGAAAAUUUAGAGAGUGUGAUUCCUAAGAAAAUUAAUGAACGAUGCUAUGCAUGCCCACGGAACAUCCCCAAUGUUGAUUAAGUUAAGACAACAAUUUUAUAAAUAGGACGGCAUACAUUUACAAUGGAUCUAAAUCCAUUGCUAUGGAUAAUAACACAAAUACAUAUAGGAAUAAUCGUGGCAUGCCUUAUGUGGAAAUUCUAUCCAUGCAAUAUAUCUGCUUGCCCGUGCGAAUGCACGGGUUGACGACUAGUCCUAUUAACCCUUAGGAAUUUAGCUUGAACAUGAAGUCACACAUUGAACUGUUUAAGUUUGAAACUAUUGUUCUAAAAAACAAUAAUUAUUUAGUAACACUAAUAUUUCUUGAAUAAGUAGUUUGACCACAGUUUGACCAUAGUUUGACCAUAGUUUGACCAGAUU